rnacentral:lncRNA from 1 species
AUUUUAAAUUCAUCAAAAGUUUCAGCCAAUGAAGCACAAGAAAACAAAAAAUCAUUAAAUAACUCUUAAGUCUGUGGAAACAUCAUGCUCAGAAUACUUAAAAAUUGCCGACAAUGCAAGAUAUUAUUCCUUUGCUCUAAUUUGCUGGUAAAAAUAAAUUGCAUGUAUAUUUUCUCUCUUCAAUGGUUCGUUGACUUGCUGAAGAAAACCAUUGACAGCACUGAAAAAUCAGACUCAAUUGAGAUUCGUAUUAAGAUCUGACGCAGGUACUCAACCAAAGUUUUUACUCAAGUGUCAGCAGGAGCCUUUUCCAACAGGAUAGGCUCUUGUUUUCACUGUUGCUGGUGAUUAACUUCAAGUUCUCUCGACAAGAAAUCGACGUUUCUGAGUGGAGUUUCUUGAUGAUGAAAGAGGAAAAAUCAAAACAUGAGUCGGACCGUUACUGUCACUGGCUUCCCAACCACUUGUGGAAUACUGUUUGUCAGCUCAGCAAACUUUCUCCUUUUAAGGGACUUCAGGAGGACUUCAAUAAUAAUGAGCAAGCUUGGAAGAAUAUUGUGGAGGCUUCAAGCUCUGAAGAUGUUCCUUUCCCAAAACCAUGGUGCUCGCAGUUAACUUGUUUUCAGCAGAUCUUGGUUCUAAAAAGCAUUCGUCCUGACAGACUCCUUCCUGCAGUCCAAGACUUUGUAACUGGUUGGUAUUUUGAAACUUUUUAAGACCGCAAGAGGCUCUUAGAUUCCUUUUGAUAUUUUUUUUCUUUUCCCC